rnacentral:misc_RNA from 1 species
AAUAAAUAAAUUCUCACAGAUUUAUAAAGUGUACUUGAUGCAGAGUUUGAUUGAGCCAUAUUAGUUGUUAAGAGAGACCAUUUGAUUUGAUAAAUUGAUUUCUCCCUCCUGACCUUUUGUGAUUCACACACAAAACUUUAAUGAUGAAAAACUUUCUUCGGAUGACCCUAAUAUCUUAGAUUUUAUGAAAGAGAAUAUAUGUAAUCUUAUGGGUAGAGAGAGAACCAGCUUGUAUAUAUAUAUAUAUUAUGAAAGAGAAUAUAUGUUAAGUAAUCUGAUACAUAUGUUAAGUAAUCAUUGUGCAAUUAGAAUUAUUAUUUAUUUUAAUUAAAGUAAAUAUCAAUUAA